rnacentral:tRNA from 1 species
CGACUGUGGUGCUGCUGGUGCUCACGGCGACGCUGCCCGAGUCGGCGUUCCUGUCGUGGGGCUGGCGGGUGGCGUUCUGGCUGUCGGCGGUCGUC